CGUCCCGCCGGCGACCGGCGCACGGGUGAGUAACACGUAUGCAACCUGGCCGCCACAGGGGGAUAACCCGCGGAAACGCGGCCUAAUACCCCGUGACGCCACCGGAGGGCAUCCUCCGGGUGGCCAAAGGAGCGAUCCGGUGGCGGAUGGGCAUGCGGCGCAUUAGCUAGACGGCGGGGUGACGGCCCACCGUGGCGACGAUGCGUAGGGGUUCUGAGAGGAAGGCCCCCCACACUGGGACUGAGACACGGCCCAGACUCCUACGGGAGGCAGCAG
rnacentral:rRNA from 1 species